GAGAUUCACUUGAACGAACGAGCGGGACUUUCAUUUUCAAACCUGAGACGUAUGAGGAGACGAUGUUUUUCUUUGUUUACUUUAAUUGUCAUGUUGUUAAAGUUCUGUAGCUUUCGAGAAUACUCAUUUUGUGAUAAACUACGAUAAGAAACGAUGGAUUCAACAGAAGACGACAUAUCUGACUGCUCGGAUUCUGUUGAGGAGAGUUCUGCAUUCAGAGUUACCAAGAUCUCCUGUAACCAGAAGUGCAACAAAUGUAUGGCAGAGCAUGAGGCUGAAAAACACCCCUGGACUGGAGAGUCCUGGAUCUGCCUUGCGUCACACACUCAAGAAGAAGCUCCAUGAGAGUGCCUCCCUGUCACCCCUCCCUUCACCUAAACGGCCAAGGUCAACAGUGCCAAAUACAAACCCUCCUGUGACGGUCCCGUCCCCGGUGCAUGAUGAGGACAUGACCACUCGUGGUCUGCUCAGGGGGAUCAUUCAGACGGUGGCCUGAACCUGACCUUGAAGACCCCAUUUGUAGAGAAGCACAUUGAGAGGGCGGGGCUUCAGAGGAAGGUGUCCAAUCGGAGGCUACCAUCUGUGGAUGCAUUUGAUGAGGCCGUUCAGAGAUGCUUGGAGCAGGGUCCCAACCAAGAUCAAUCUGUAUUUCAGGAUGGAAAAACUCUAGAAGAUUCUUCAUUCUUCAGAAGUUCACACUCGGCCUCAAUGAUGUCACAGAGCUUUAUGCCCAGCUUAAUAAAAAAGACGACAAAGUGGGACCGUCUGCAGAGAUGGAGAGGGAUGCAGAGAACGAGCGAGAACAUGAGCUUGAGCGAGCCAGUGAGAUUCCAGACUCAGAACCUUUAAUUCAAGAAGGAAAAGAUCAUGAGAUGGAAUCACAGGAUGAUGAGGAAGAGGAAGAGGAAGAGGUGGUGCUUUCAUCCCAAGAAAAUGUGUUUUUGAGUCCAGAAGAUGAUAUUGUACUUCCUCCAACGCAGACAAUGACAGAAUUACUUCCUGAAUCGCGUGAUGUGCAGCUAGAAGAUCGAGAAUUUGUGGAGGAAGUUGAGAUUGGGAAUGUUGUGGAAAUUGAGGAUGUGGAAAUUGAAGAUGACAGCGUUGAGGAUGAGAUGGUUGUGGAUGAGAAUGUUGAGGAAAUCGAGGAUGAGGAGGUUGUUAAAGCUGAACAUGAAAAUGUUGAAGAGAACCCAGACACCUCACAGUGUCUAGAGCGAAUAACUCGUAGAGCUCACCGCUCAGAGGGAGGAGGCUCUGUCGUGGGAAUUCCGCCUGCCACGGGAGUCACAAAGAAUUUUGGAGCUGGAUUGAACCCCAGAGAGAAAGGUGAAGACUGCUUGAAGUGACAAAAUCACAAAGUUCUUCACCAGUGACUAGGGCUGUCUUUCCCUUGCAUGAAUAAGACUCGCAGAUCUUUUGGAUUUUGUGGACGAGAACCGUGAGAAUUUACAGGACUUUUCGGAUGAAGAAAGAGAACCGCUGGGCAGCCAAGAGUUUCCUCGCCUCCAUCCUCCAGCAGAGCUCAGCUCACCAGAGCAGAGGUCACGGCAACAUGAGGCUAGUCUGGCUGAGGGAGAUGUGCCAGAGCUUGAAGAAGAUGAUGACGCCCCAGAAGAACUUAACCAAUCAGAGGAGGAGGAGCUGAUAGACUCUGGGUCAGCCAGUCAGAGCCCUGAACUUCCACAAGAAGAGGAAGAGAACGAUGAUGACGACGCUCUUAGUGCAGAACUGUCCAUCAAAACUCCUGCGUUUGUAAGACAGAAGAGAGAUUUCACAGGUUCUGUUGCGCAGGCUAUGCCAACAGUCUUUAAAGUGAAUGCUGGCUUUUUUCCCUUCACUAAUGACCGAAGCAGACGUGUGUGUGAGGUUUACAAGGCCAAGUCUGUUGUUGAGAUUUGCAGCUCCAGACAGAUGCUGGAUUCCCGUUUCUUUAGAAAACUCUUUCUAUAUCUCUUGCCUUUAUUUAGUGUCAGACUGAAUUUAAAUCCAGAUCUUUUGAUUCCAGAUCCGGCUCAUGUUUCACACCGUUUUCAGUGUGUUGUCACUAUAGAUCGAGAUCCAGAUGUUUGGUCCCUGGGGCCCUCUGGGGCCCCAACCUCCUCCUCCUCUUCUUCUUUACCUCCUCCUGCAAGCAGUGACCCUUCCACAUUCUCCACAGUAUGAGUCAGCAGUGCAGCGGCUCUAGCAACUCCAUCUAUCAUGUUGAGUUUCAUCACAAUGUAGCACUUAAACCAAACAUUGCUUGAAAACGAACCUCUGACAAGCCAAUCUGUUCUCUGUCUCCUUCAUAAAACCACGAACGUGGGUCACACAGCGCUGUGGCAGCCAGAACACUCGCGUCAUCUAGCGCAUGAGUCACCGGGAGAAUUUUCCGUGUUACUGGCACUUUUUCUUGUCUGUUCCUGCCAGAAGUUGGACCCAGUGGACCCGAAACCAAUUUCAUCAUCACUGCGGGACUGAGUCACACUGCUACUCAGCAAAGAGAGUGAGAGAAGAUCUGCUCGGCCAAAAAUACUUGAAUACUACACACCAGAUGGGAAUAAAGUGAAAACUAAAUAGGAAAACAGAACGAAGGACAAAGAUGUAGAAGGUUUCUGAUGAAUGGACCAUGACAUUUAAAAUCCCAAGUCUCAAAAACCACAAAGACUAGUUAUUUCCAGAGAAGAUGCCACGGUCCAGAUCCUCACAGAAUCCCUCUCGCUGGUCCAGGUCUGGAACAUUCCAGAACCUUCUUUUACCUUUUCCAUUUAGAGAGACAGUGCAGGAAGCAGAGCCCAUGAUGACAUCACCACCCCUCUGUUCCAGCGCACAUCUGGAAAUGCUCAAGUUUCAGAACGAGAGAGAUAAAGAGAGAGAGAACUGCGAGAAUGUGAGGGAAGAGUACAAAUGAGCUUGGCAUAUCUGCACCACCAGCACGGAUAGGGAAAUAAGGAGGAGAGCAUAGGAAAUUAGAAAGAAAUGGAGUCACUAGGAAAAAGAAGAAGAGGUUGGUAGGGGGAGGCUGGAAGUCUGUGUCCCAGGGCAUGAUCCCUCUGUCUGGAAAGACUCAACAGGAAAACAUCCCUACCCAGGGUUCCACAUCAGCAGCCCCCCUUUGACAUUCACGGAUGAUUUCUGAGAGCUGGACGUCCUCCAUGGAUUUCUUGGCCACUGUGGUUCUCAUACCUAAGGACUGAAAGAGAGAGAGAGAGGUUAAGACGUAUACGGAACAGAAGGAAAACUGAGGUCUGAUGAAAGAGAUCCUUCAUGGUAAUAGUAAUUUUGAAAAUCUACCAUGAAUACCAUGGUAUUUUCUGAAGUACCAUGUAAAUACAAUGGUAAGUAAUAAUUGAAGAGACAAUAGAUUCAACUGAACUUCAGCUUUAGCAAAGACACAUCUUUUGCUCCAAAAAAAAAAAAUACUGUAG
ensembl:lncRNA